AGGAGUGGGUGGGCGGCUGACGGCUCAUCAGAGCUGAGGAAAUUCCCCCCUCAUUUCUGGGUCAGGGGUGUAACAACCGGGGCGAGAGUCCCGACGGCAGGCGCAGAAACGGCACAGCCCAUGACGAGAAUGAUUUCCUGAGAAUGACGCUGUCAUGGGAUAUGGUGAAACGGCCGCCGCCCUGGAGCAAGUCCAAACACCGGCAGGGUUACCCAGAACCGCCCGGGGGUAGGACGCUUAGACAAAUGCCGCCUAAAACAGAAGGGGGAUUACGACCCACACCU
rnacentral:RNase_P_RNA from 1 species